CCCAGGCCGUUGGCCUGGGCUGUGGUAGAUCGCCCCUUCGGGGCU
rnacentral:sRNA from 1 species